rnacentral:rRNA from 1 species
AUUGAACGCUGGCGGCAUGCCUUACACAUGCAAGUCGAACGGCAGCACGGGAGCUUGCUCCUGGUGGCGAGUGGCGAACGGGUGAGUAAUACAUCGGAACGUACCCAGUAGUGGGGGAUAACGCACCGAAAGGUGCGCUAAUACCGCAUACGACCUAAGGGGGAAAGCGGGGGCCCGCAAGGCCUCGGCCUAUUGGAGCGGCCGAGGCCUGAUUAGCUAGUGGGCGGGGUAAAGGCCCACCAAGGCGACGAUCAGUAGCUGGUCUGAGAGGACGAUCAGCCACACUGGGACUGAGACACGGCCCAGACUCCUACGGGAGGCAGCAGUGGGGAAUUUUGGACAAUGGGGGCAACCCUGAUCCAGCAAUGCCGCGUGUGCGAAGAAGGCCUUCGGGUUGUAAAGCACUUUUGUCAGGGAAGAAAUCUUUCAGGCUAAUACCCUUGGAAGGAUGACGGUACCUGAAGAAUAAGCACCGGCUAACUACGUGCCAGCAGCCGCCGCCG